AGCUUGCUGCUUUGCUGACGAGUGGCGGACGGGUGAGUAAUGUCUGGGAAACUGCCUGAUGGAGGGGGAUAACUACUGGAAACGGUAGCUAAUACCGCAUAACGUCGCAAGACCAAAGAGGGGGACCUUCGGGCCUCUUGCCAUCGGAUGUGCCCAGAUGGGAUUAGCUAGUAGGUGGGGUAACGGCUCACCUAGGCGACGAUCCCUAGCUGGUCUGAGAGGAUGACCAGCCACACUGGAACUGAGACACGGUCCAGACUCCUACGGGAGGCAGCAGUGGGGAAUAUUGCACAAUGGGCGCAAGCCUGAUGCAGCCAUGCCGCGUGUAUGAAGAAGGCCUUCGGGUUGUAAAGUACUUUCAGCGGGGAGGAAGGGAGUAAAGUUAAUACCUUUGCUCAUUGACGUUACCCGCAGAAGAAGCACCGGCUAACUCCGUGCCAGCAGCCGCGGUAAUACGGAGGGUGCAAGCGUUAAUCGGAAUUACUGGGCGUAAAGCGCACGCAGGCGGUUUGUUAAGUCAGAUGUGAAAUCCCCGGGCUCAACCUGGGAACUGCAUCUGAUACUGGCAAGCUUGAGUCUCGUAGAGGGGGGUAGAAUUCCAGGUGUAGCGGUGAAAUGCGUAGAGAUCUGGAGGAAUACCGGUGGCGAAGGCGGCCCCCUGGACGAAGACUGACGCUCAGGUGCGAAAGCGUGGGGAGCAACAGGAUUAGAUACCCUGGUAGUC
rnacentral:rRNA from 1 species